UGGGUAGUGGCUACCAGGAUGGCAGUUCCUACAAUGGCUAUUCCAACGGCUACAAAGACGACUAUAACAACGGAUACCAAGGUAACAAUGACAACGGCUACUACGGAGGCAGCAACGGUUACCAGGACAACAAUGGUUACGCUGGCGACAGCUACAACAACGACUACAAUGGUUACCAAAACAACGGAUACAAUGGUAAUGGUUACGGAAGUAAAGGAUAUAAAGGAGCUGAUGGCUACUAAAUAAAAAAAGAAAUAGUGUAUCCUCUUGAGACCUACUUUUUGAGGAACAGAUUUCAUAUUAGAUAUGGCCAUAUCCUAGAUUUAGUAGAACUAAUAAAUUGUCACUAAAGCCAA
rnacentral:sRNA from 1 species